GAUGAAGAACGCAGCGAAAUGCGAUACUUGGUGUGAAUUGCAGAAUCCCGUGAACCAUCGAGUCUUUGAACGCAAGUUGCGCCCGAAGCCAUUAGGCCGAGGGCACGCCUGCCUGGGCGUCACACGUCGUUGCCCCCCCAUCUACUCCUUCGGGAUUGCGGGGGGCGGAUGAUGGCCUCCCGUGCGCCUCGUCGCGCGGUUGGCAUGAAUGCCAAGUCCUCGGCGACGCACGCCACGACAAUCGGUGGUUGCGAAACCUCGGUUGCCCGUCGUGUGCGGUCGUCGCGCAUCGAGGGCUCGAAAAAAUUGCCGGGCUCCGGCUCGGCUUUCAACGCGACCCCAGGUCAGGCGGGGUUACCCGCUGAAUUUAAGCAUAUCAAUAAGCGGAGGA
rnacentral:misc_RNA from 1 species